GAUGAACGCUGGCGGCGUGCCUAAUACAUGCAAGUCGAGCGAACAGACGAGGAUCUUGCUCCUCUGACGUUAGCGGCGGACGGGUGAGUAACACGUGUAUAACCUACCUAUAAGACUGGUAUAACUUCGGGAAACCGGAGCUAAUACCGGAUAAUAUAUUGAACCGCAUGGUUCAAUAGUGAAAGACGGUUUUGCUGGCGCUUAUAGAUGGAUCCGCGCCGUAGUAGCUAGUUGUUAAGGUAACGGCUUACCAAGGCAACGAUGCGUAGCCGGCCGGAGAGGGUGACCGGCCACAUUGGGACUGAGAUACGGCCCAGACUCCUACGGGAGGCAGCAGUGGGGAAUAUUGCACAAUGGGCGGAAGCCUGAUGCAGCAACGCCGCGUGCGGGAUGACGGCCUUCGGGUUGUAAACCGCUUUCGCCUGUGACGAAGCGUGAGUGACGGUAAUGGGUAAAGAAGCACCGGCUAACUACGUG
rnacentral:rRNA from 1 species